rnacentral:rRNA from 1 species
GAUGAACGCUGGCGGCGUGCUUAACACAUGCAAGCCGAACGGGAUCCCAGGAGCUUGCUCCUGGGUGAGAGUGGCGAACGGGUGAGUAAUGCGUGACCGACCUGCCCCAUACACCGGAAUAGCUCCUGGAAACGGGUGGUAAUGCCGGAUGCUCCAGUUGACCGCAUGGUCCUCUGGGAAAGCUUUUGCGGUAUGGGAUGGGGUCGCGUCCUAUCAGCUUGAUGGCGGGGUAACGGCCCCACCAUGGCUU